AACGAACGCUGGCGGCAUGCCUAACACAUGCAAGUCGAACGAGACCUUCGGGUCUAGUGGCGCACGGGUGCGUAACGCGUGGGAACCUGCCCUUAGGUUUGGAAUAACUCCCCGAAAGGGGUGCUAAUACCGGAUAAUGUCUUCGGACCAAAGAUUUAUCGCCUUUGGAUGGGCCCGCGUUGGAUUAGCUAGUUGGUAGGGUAAAAGCCUACCAAGGCGACGAUCCAUAGCUGGUUUGAGAGGAAGAGCAGCCACACUGGGACGAGGACACGGCCCAGAAUCCUACGCGAGGCAGCAGUGGGGAAUAUUGGACAAUGGGCGGAAGCAUGAUCCAGUAAUGACGCGUGAGUGAUGAAGGCCUUAGGGUUGUAAAGCUCUUUUACCCGGGAUGAUAUUGACAGUACCGACAGAAUAAGCUCCGGCUAACUCCGUG
rnacentral:rRNA from 1 species